rnacentral:rRNA from 1 species
CCAGACUCCUACGGGAGGCAGCAGUGGGGAAUAUUGGGCAAUGGGCGCAAGCCUGACCCAGCAACGCCGCGUGAAGGAAGAAGGCUUUCGGGUUGUAAACUUCUUUUCUCAGGGACGAAGAAAGUGACGGUACCUGAGGAAUAAGCCACGGCUAACUACGUGCCAGCAGCCGCGGUAAUACGUAGGUGGCAAGCGUUAUCCGGAUUUACUGGGUGUAAAGGGAGCGUAGACGGCAGUGCAAGUCCGGAGUGAAAGCCCGGGGCUCAACCCUGGGACUGCUCUGGAAACUGUAAAGCUGGAGUGCGGGAGGGGCAGGCGGAAUUCCUGGUGUAGCGGUGAAAUGCGUAGAUAUCAGGAGGAACACCGGCGGCGAAGGCGGCCUGCUGGACCGUAACUGACGUUGAGGCUCGAAAGCGUGGGGAGCAAACAGGAUUAGAUACCCCUGUA